UUCCUCUUUAGAUUCCUCCCUAGGCAUUUCUGUGAUCCCUUUAUAAGCCACAGCCCAAGGUCCCAGAUAGUUGUGUUGUUGCUCUGCCUCCCUCUGCUCUGCAGCCUAACCAGAACCAUGCUGCUCAGAAUCUUUGCUGCUGUCUUCCUUGCUGAACUCCUGGGCUCAUCAGACUCAAAUGGAGUCACAGAUACUGACCUAUGGCUGUGCCAGCCAGCGCCCAGGUGUGGGGACCAGACCUACAACCCCUUGGAGCAGUGCUGUGACAAUGACACCAUCCUGCCCCUGAAUGCAACCCGGCUGUGUGUCCCCAACUGCAUCUUCUAUCCCUGCUUCUAGCACUGCUGCCUGGAGUCCCAGGGCUCUCAGAAUCAGGCAGUGGUGACAUUCAAGGUCCCAGGCAUGAAGCCCGACUGCAGGUCCUCCCCCAUCUCCAGGAUUUGUGCCAGUUAAGUAUGUGAUUCUAGCCCAGGCUGGGGGAGGGGCAGCAGGGGACAGAGCUUGGUUGUAGCCCCUGUUGAGGCUCCACUUUCCAUCCCUGAGUAACCAUGUGACUCCCUCCAUUCCUUCUAGCCCUUGCCCCUUCCCCUCCCCCUCCCCCUGCCUCUCUGCUGUCUCCCUUCCUCUUUCUUCAGGAACACCACCCAACCAGCCCUCAGCCAGAUCUGACUUCAUCCAGACCACCCUGGGAGAAGAAUCUGUUAUCUAGUAAUCUGUUAUCUGUUAUCUGUUAUCACGCUGAGGUUUUUAAUGAUUGCUAUGGUCUUAGUGAGUCCCCACGUUCAUGUGGUGGAAUCUUAAUUCUUCAUUGCUGACGUGACUCCUAGAGCUGGGGGAGGUUGGGAGUAGGUGGGAGUAUUGAGGUCACAGGAAUGGAGCCCUCGUGAAUGUCUUAGUGCCAUCUGGUAGGAGUGAGUUCCUGUUCUCACUAGAUUCAUUACCUCGAGAGUGGGUUGUUAUAACAAGGCUGCUCCUCACACUCUUUCAACUGUCAAUGUACCCACUUGUCCUUUCAUCUCAGCUCCAACAAGGAGUUGAGGUAUUAUGUGGCCCUUGCCAGAUGUUGCUGUGUGAUCCUGAACUUUCCAGACUCCAGAACCAUGAACCAGAAUAAACGUCUUUCCUUUUAAAUUACCCAAUCUCAGGCAUUUUGAAAAAUAGAGCAAAAUAGAAAAUAGAACGAGGCAAGUAUAUCACUUUUUUUGGACGUUUAAUAUGUAUUUUUUAUUUUUUAUUUUUACAGACAGCAUUUUGACUCAUUGUACACAAAUGGGUUACAACUUUUCAUUUCUAUAGUUGUACAUGAUGUAGAUUCACACCAUACAUGUAAUCAUACAUAUACAUAGGGUAAUGAUGUUCACUCUCCUUCUCCCUUUCCCCUCCCCCUCUCAUUUUCUAUAAACUGUAAACAGAAAGCACAUAUUUUUGUUUAUUGAUAUUGCAUUAAGCUUCAAUAUUCUCAUAAUAAAAUCAAAUUUAUUCAAACUAAGUUAUUCUUUUCUUUCCUGGAAUUUCUACCUUGCUGGUGCCAUAUAAAAGUACCUAAUCUUGACUAUUCAGUAAGCAGAUAUUAGGUUCAUGGGGGAAAUUUUGAGGGAGAAAGAGGUUCAAUGAAUUACCUCCAUGUGCAAUUCAGGAUUCCCCAGAAAAUCAAUCCCAUAUUUUCCUUAAAAGAAGGAGUUCUCUAGAGCCUUCCUAUUUGCUGGUCCUUGCUGCAUAAUUUAGUCCAUUUUGUGCUGAUACAACAAAAUACCUGAGACAGGGUACAUUAUAAAGUAAAAAAGUACUUUAACCACAGUUUUGGAGACUCAAAGUCCAAGAUCAGGCAGCUCUGUCUGCUCAGCCUUAGGUGAGGUCUUCUGGCUCACCAUGGUGGAUGACAUCACAGAUGGAGCAGGUACUAUAUUGGUUAGUGGUGUGUGCAGAAGAGAGAGGUCACAUGGUGAGAGAGGGAGCAAGAGAGAAAGACCACAGAAUGAACUUGGUCUAUAACAGCCCACUCCAUGGGUAGCCAACCCAGUCCCAUGAUACCUAAGCUGCUCCUGCAAGACAGGCAUUGAUCCCUUCCCAGGAUGGUUCCCCCAUGACCUAAUCACCUCUGGGUAGACUCCACCUCUUAAAGGUUCUACCAUCUUCAGUACUUUUACACUGGAGACCAAGUCUUCAGCCCAUGAGCUUUUGGGGGGACAAAUCAUACCCAAACCAUAGCUGAGCCCAUCUAACACCUGUCAAGUCAAUCACAAAAUCCUCAAGGAAGCCUCAACUCAUCUAAUAAUUUGGGGGAGCAGCAAAUUUCUCCCCUAACAAGCAAAUAGCAUAGCAUUCUGCAGCCUGAUAGGGUUGGGGGUUCAAGAAGGCCAGGAUAGGCAGAGUCUAGCUCUUCUGACACCCAUGCUGGGAAACAGGGGUUCCAACCUGAGCACAACUUUCCAGGAUUCUCACUCUAAUGUAGUGGGGACCUUGAGCUUUUGGAUCCAGGAAAAGAAAAGUCCUUCCUUCUGAGAUCAGGAGGUUUUAUAUUCUAGGAACCAUCUGGUCACAAAGUUUGGAGAAAGUAGUCAGAGCACAGGGCUUUCUACAUAAUUUGCAUGGCCUAGUGCAAAAUGGAAGCUCAGUUCAAAAUAUCAAGAAAAAUAGAUGUUUG